AUUGAACGCUGGCGGCAUGCCUAACACAUGCAAGUCGAGCGGAGCGACCGACGGGUGAGUAAUGCCUAGGAAUCUGACUGGUAGUGGGGGCUAACGUCCGGACACGGGCGCUAAUACCGCAUACUAUAAGAUGAGACUAGGACGGUAUAGCUAGUUGGUGGGGUAAAGGCCUACCAAGGCGACGAUCCGUAACUGGUCUGAGAGGAGGAUCAGUCACACUGGAACUGAGACACGGUCCAGACUCCUACGGGAGGCAGCAGUGGGGAAUAUUGGACAAUGGGCGAAAGCCUGAUCAAGCCAUGCCGCGUGUGUGAAGAAGGUCUUCGGAUUGUAAAGCACUUUAAGUUGGGAGGCGUUACCAACAGAAUAAGCACCGGCUAACUUCGUGCCAGCAGCCGCGGUAAUUC
rnacentral:rRNA from 1 species